rnacentral:rRNA from 1 species
UAAGGAAUAUUGGUCAAUGGAGGGAACUCUGAACCAGCCAUGCCGCGUGAAGGAUGACGGCCCUCUGGGUUGUAAACUUCUUUUGGAUGGGGCGAAAAAACGGGAUUUAUCCUGGACUGACGGUACCAUCAGAAUAAGCACCGGCUAACUCCGUGCCAGCAGCCGCGGUAAUACGGAGGGUGCAAGCGUUAUCCGGAAUCACUGGGUUUAAAGGGUGCGUAGGCGGUUGUAUAAGUCAGGGGUGAAAGCACGCAGCUUAACUGUGUAAUUGCCUUUGAUACUGUACGGCUUGAAUAGGGUUGAGGUUGGCGGAAUGUGACAUGUAGCGGUGAAAUGCAUAGAUAUGUCAUAGAACACCGAUUGCGAAGGCAGCUGACUGGGCCUAUAUUGACGUGUGAGCAA